UUAAGAGUAUUAUAAAUUAAUAUGGCAAUUUUACAAGUUGUUGAUCCUUUAAGGCUUUUAAU
rnacentral:tRNA from 1 species